rnacentral:misc_RNA from 1 species
UUUCCGUAGGUGAACCUGCGGAAGGAUCAUUACAGUAUUACCAAAGUUCGAGGCCUGUUGAUCUGCCUACACCGUUUCUUCGGCGGUUUGCCCCGGCGCAACUCCGUCUCGCCCCUGCCCGGCCCACUGGGCUCGGCCGCCCCGGGCUUGUCCGGAGGCGGGCAUUCGUUUUCACCCUACCUUUGUAGGCUAUGCAGAAUGUUAAAAUUUUCAACGCCGGAUCUCUUGGCUCUGGCAUCGCUAAAGAAGGCAGCAGAUCUGAAGCACCGACGUCUGAAC